UACGUAGGAUGCAAGCGUUGUCCGGGAUUAUUGGGCGUAAAGAGCGCGCAGGCGGUCUGCCCAGUCAGAUGUGAAAGAGGCCGGCUUAACCGGCAAGGGUCAUUUGAAACUGACAGACUAGAGUGCAGCAGAGGAUAGCGGAAUUCCCGGUGUAGUGGUGAAAUGCGUAGAUAUCGGGAAGAACACCCGUGGCGAAGGCGGCUCUCUGGGACGGUACUGACGCUGAGACGCGAAAGCGUGGGGAGCGAACAGG
rnacentral:rRNA from 1 species